GUCCUGGCAGUAAACGCUGCGAGCCAGGUGUUGCACAUUCCACGAGAUUGUGCAGUGUCGUAGAGAAGUCGUUAAGCUCGCCGCCUGGGUAAUACGGUCGCAAGACUGAAACUUACAGGAAUUGGCGGGGGAGCACAACAAGGGGUGCGGCGUGCGGUUUAAUCUAACUCAACGCAGAGAACCUCACCAGAGGCGACGGCAGAAUGAAAGUCAGAUUGAAGGUCUUACUUAACAAGCCGAGAGGUGGUGCAUGGCCGCCGUCAGCUCGUGCUGUGAAGUGUCCUGUUAAGUCAGGCAACGAGCGAGACCUGUAUCUACAAUUGCCAGCAACAUCUUUAGAUGGAUUGGGCACUUUGUAGGGACUGCCUUGGAAACAAGGAGGAAGGUGCAGGCAACGGUAGGUCUGUAUGCCCCGAAUCCUCUGGGCUACACGCGCGCAACAAUGGUAUGGACAAUGGGAUGCAACUCCGAAAGGAGAAGCUAAGCCUCUAAACCAUAUCUCAGUCCAGAUUGUGGCUUGUAACUCAGCCACAUGACGUUGGAAUCCCUAGUAACCAGACUUUAUCAUAG
rnacentral:rRNA from 1 species